UACGAAGGGGGGCUAGCGUUGCUCGGAAUCACUGGGCGUAAAGCGCACGUAGGCGGAUUGUUAAGUCAGGGGUGAAAUCCUGGAGCUCAACUCCAGAACUGCCUUUGAUACUGAGGAUCUUGAGUUCGGGAGAGGUGAGUGGAACUGCGAGUGUAGAGGUGAAAUUCGUAGAUAUUCGCAAGAACACCAGUGGCGAAGGCGGCUCACUGGCCCGAUACUGACGCUGAGGCACGAAAGCGUGGGGAGCAAACAGG
rnacentral:rRNA from 1 species